rnacentral:rRNA from 1 species
UACGGGGGGGGCAAGCGUUGUUCGGAAUUACUGGGCGUAAAGGGCUCGUAGGCGGCCAACUAAGUCAGACGUGAAAUCCCUCGGCUUAACCGGGGAACUGCAUCUGAUACUGGAUGGCUUGAGUUCGGGAGAGGGAUGCGGAAUUCCAGGUGUAGCGGUGAAAUGCGUAGAUAUCUGGAGGAACACCGGUGGCGAAGGCGGCAUCCUGGACUGACACUGACGCUGAGGAGCGAAAGCCAGGGGAGCAAACGGG